CAUCCUCCAAGGCUAAAUACUCCUGACUGACCGAUAGUGAACCAGUACCGUGAGGGAAAGGCGAAAAGAACCCCGGCGAGGGGAGUGAAAAAGAACCUGAAACCGUGUACGUACAAGCAGUGGGAGCACCCUUUGGGGUGUGACUGCGUACCUUUUGUAUAAUGGGUCAGCGACUUAUAUUCUGUAGCAAGGUUAACCGUAUAGGGGAGCCGUAGGGAAACCGAGUCUUAACCGGGCGUUAAGUUGCAGGGUAUAGACCCGAAACCCGGUGAUCUAGCCAUGGGCAGGUUGAAGGUUGGGUAACACUAACUGGAGGACCGAACCGACUAAUGUUGAAAAAUUAGCGGAUGACCUGUGGCUGGGGGUGAAAGGCCAAUCAAACCGGGAGAUAGCUGGUUCUCCCCGAAAGCUAUUUAGGUAGCGCCUCGUGAAUUCAUCUCCGGGGGUAGAGCACUGUUUCGGCUAGGGGGCCAUCCCGGCUUACCAACCCGAUGCAAACUGCGAAUACCGGAGAAUGUUAUCACGGGAGACACACGGCGGGUGCUAACGUCCGUCGUGAAGAGGGAAACAACCCAGACCGCCAGCUAAGGUCCCAAAGUCAUGGUUAAGUGGGAAACGAUGUGGGAAGGCCCAGACAGCCAGGAUGUUGGCUUAGAAGCAGCCAUCAUUUAAAGAAAGCGUAAUAGCUCACUGGUCGAGUCGGCCUGCGCGGAAGAUGUAACGGGGCUAAACCAUGCACCGAAGCUGCGGCAGCGAACGUAUCACUUAAAGCGAUUCAGCGGGUUACGAUUGACGGAGCGAAGCGACGUCAAAGCGUAUACAAAGUCGAGUCGGUUUAAGGAUACGUUCGUUGGGUAGGGGAGCGUUCUGUAAGCCCGUGAAGGUGGCCUGUGAGGGUUGCUGGAGGUAUCAGAAGUGCGAAUGCUGACAUAAGUAACGAUAAAGCGGGUGAAAAGCCCGCUCGCCGGAAGACCAAGGGUUCCUGUCCAACGUUAAUCGGGGCA
rnacentral:rRNA from 1 species